rnacentral:lncRNA from 1 species
CAGUGCUUUCCACUAUAACUGUAAAACUUAACAGCCAUUGCUUCCUCCUAUGGGGUUACUGAGCCUUUUAAAGAAGGAAACGAACCGCCAUUUUAAUAGCAUUCUAAAGGAUUCUGAAAGCAGAAGUCAUCUUGCAUGCAACGUCGUUCUGUGGGGUAACAUGCUACUUGCAAAUCUCAUUGUACAUACAGUAGAUGAGUCACCUUAUGCUCUGUGUAGGGGUGGGGGCAGGAGAUACGAUGCUGACCAUCAUGUCAAACAGCUACAGCUUCCCCAAACCAGAGAUUCAGACAAGGACGGGGGCGGAAGGGGAGCAACUGUAAAAGUAUAACUAAUUGUAACAGGUAAACUUUGGUAUCCGUGUCCAGUGGUUAGCUCUAGAUUUGCAAGCCUUGUUAUGUUGCACACACCCUCCAUUCACACCUGUCAUCAUCUUCUUCAUAUGAACUAGUGAUGAAUGACACAGAUUGUUGUGUCCGAAUGACUCUCAGACCAGUUCUGCCCCCUUUCCCACCCAAAUCCAAGACAGCAAAGAUAGCUGAGCAACAAAAAAUUGUUGACCAUCACUAGUUUUAGUUUAUUCAUUGGGUUUUUUUCUCCCCUCUAUUUUUAAGCUUCUUUAUCUGAACACACACAUAUAUAUAGGUGAUCAUACUCUUCAAAUACUUUAAUGGGGUUGCGUAGAAGUCGCUUGCCAUCUUUCAAAAGGCCCACCGGCAUCUUGCAGCCAUACACCUAACUAGAAAUGUAUUUGGUCGAUAUAGGUGACAUCUGGCAUUGCCCUUCUUGCGUACACUACAGUUGACAAGGAUCCACCCAUAGAAGCUGGCAGAAAGUGGCUUCUGUGCCUUUUUAUUUUGGGGAGGUAGAGGGGAAUUUUUUUGCACUAAGAUUAUUUGUUAACCUCAAAAUGGUCAACUUGCAGGAUUUAUUAAUACCCAGGAUUAAUCCGAUGUUGUGGAGUCCUACUCAGCUAGGUGUGUAGGCUUUGCAGUCAUCAAAAUGGCAAAUACCUUGGCUGUAUCUGUACAAUCACAGAGUAAAGUGGUUUGUAGUGAUUUUUUUUUCCUUCUGUGAAAUUUAAACAGGCCUCUGCUUUCAGCUGUGUUGUGUUGAUCUCCAUUGUUUAUGAGGAUAGAAGCACAGGAGAGCUAAACUCUUUACUGUGUCUAGACCCAACCUGAAGGUAAACCUUGUGUUCUGCAUUAAAAACCGUGUCAAAGCAUUGCCAAGAUACCAAUUUGAAGUCUGAGACAGCAGAAGAUGUUAGUGGGUCAUUGGAAUUGAGGGUUUUUUUGGAUCAGUUACAUGGAAUUUUCUUCUCGUGGAGA